rnacentral:rRNA from 1 species
CCUACGGGUGGCAGCAGUGAGGAAUAUUGGUCAAUGGCCGGAAGGCUGAACCAGCCAAGUCGCGUGAGGGACGACUGCCCUAUGGGUUGUAAACCUCUUUUAUAAGGGAAGAAGAUAUGCUACGUGUAGCAUUUUGCCUGUACCUUAUGAUUAAGCAUCGGCUAACUCCGUGCCAGCAGCCGCAGUAAUACGGAGGUGGCGAGCGUUAUCCGGAUUUAUUGGGUUUAAAGGGUGCGUAGGCGGUUUCUUAAGUUGGAGGUAAAACGUCGGGGCUAAACCUUGAAUUGCCAUUGAGACUGUUAGACUCGAGUUCAGGCGAGGUAGGCGGAAUGCGUUGGGUAGCGGUGAAAUGCAUAGAUAUAA